rnacentral:miRNA from 1 species
UGAGUCUGUAAGAAAAGAGGAG